rnacentral:tRNA from 1 species
AUAAAGAUAAGCUAAAUUUAAGCUAGUAGGUUCAUACCCUAAACAUAAAGAUUAUUCUUUUCUUUAUA